GGAGGCGCAUGGUGACUGGUGUUGCCCGCGGGCUUCAAACCCGUCGAGGGUCUGUAAGGCAGGCCUUGGUGGGUUCGAUUCCCACACGCCUCC
rfam:Synergistales bacterium 54_9 MPJ_scaffold_356, whole genome shotgun sequence.